UUUUACCAGAAAGAUACAUGAUCUGAUACCAGAGAGAAAGGAUAAGGGUUUGAGACCCAAGUUCUGUCUGGGUUAGAGUCCUAGAAUCUGGGUUGGAGUCCCAGAGAAAGGACCAAGUUCCUUAGGUCGGGUUGGAGUCCCAGAGAAAGGACCAAGUUCCUUUAGGUCGGGUUGGAGUCCCAGAGAAAGGACCAAGUUCCUUUAGGUCGGGUUGGAGUCCCAGAGAAAGGACCAAGUUCCUUUAGGUCGGGUUGGAGUCCCGACGUGGGUUCCUUUGGUUCGUGGUUAGUGUUAUGUUGUUUUGAUUCCUGCCGUGGAAUCACAGAUAUUGGUUGUGUUGAAUCUGAGAGGAACAAAAAGUGAGCCAUCAUCUGGUGUUGGCAUACCGAGCUCCGUGGGAGACGUUUCCAAGUUCUGUCCGGGUUAGAGUCCUAGAAUCUGGAUUGGAGUCCCAGAGAAAG
ensembl:lncRNA